rnacentral:rRNA from 1 species
AUUGAACGCUGGCGGCAGGCCUAACACAUGCAAGUCGAACGAGCGGCGGACGGGUGAGUAAUGUCUGGGAAACUGCCUGAUGGAGGGGGAUAACUACUGGAAACGGUAGCUAAUACCGCAUACCAUCGGAUGUGCCCAGAUGGGAUUAGCUAGUAGGUGGGGUAAGGGCUCACCUAGGCGACGAUCCCUAGCUGGUCUGAGAGGAUGACCAGCAGCACUGGAAAUGGGACAAGGACCAGACUCCGACGGGAGGCAGCGGUGGGAAAUCUUGGGGAGUGGGCACAGGCGUGAAUUAGCCAUGCCGCGUAAAUGAGGAGGACCUUCGGGUUGUAAAGUACGUUAAGUGGCGAGGCGUUAUCCAACGAAGAAGCACCGGCUAACUCCGUGCCAGCAGCCGCGGUAAUAC